CCUAAUUUUUCUUCACGUUCUUUCGAAUUCCACCUUUUUCCAGUUCUUAUCUCUCCAAAUCCGUUUCGAUGAGUAAUUCACCACAUAACUCUGCUCUAAUCAAACCUUGAUUAAACUCAUUCAAUGGAUUCUUUCACCUUCUUCUCUGUUUUUUUAUGUUUAUAAAUCUCAUUUCCUAUCUUAGGUUUCCAUCGAAGUUUAUAAGAUUCUCUCUACUCAUCGCGAUGAAACCCACCGGCAACUCUUCAAGUCUCCAGCGACGGUAAGACCAGCAAGACGCCCUGCGACCUGCGAGUAUCCUCAGACUACGUUGGUGGUGGUUUAAGAACCGCCGCUUCAUGUAGCUGGGACCUCGAGAAGUUCGAGUGCCAAGCUGAGGUUCGUUUCUACUAAAGUUUUUAUUUUUAGUCAUGGGAACUUGAAAUGAAUGUGAAAGUUUGAGACUUUAUCACUGGCAGUAAUGCAAGUGAUGCUUUGAUAAGCUGAGGUUCUUGAGUGUGACAGAGCCUGCUUUGCUUGGAGAUGGUGGUUACAAAGGAAGAACUUAUAGACUGUCUGUCUUGGAACCAUUUCUCAGAGUGGUACUUCCAAAUUCUUGAAGGCUCUUAAGGAAAACAAGAAUCUUGGUGCUGACAAGACAUGUUUCUUCUUAUCAAUCCUCGGGACGAAGGUGAUUUCACCAAGACCCAUCUCCAGUGCUCAAGUUGUAUAAUAAAGAGCUACCAGACAUGAACUACGCCUCAAACAGUAGGAAGCAAUCUGCUUUCCUUAAGGGAUGCGUCUCUAAAGGGUGCUUUAGCUGUUAACUCUGAUGGUCGUUACUUGGCGACUAGAGGAAUCAGAGUUUUGUUAUUACUUCAUCAUGCGUUACUUUGAAGAAUUGGUGACUCAGGGUGUGAUCGUGGAACAGUCAUGGCCAUUUUGGUCAAGCAUCUGAAGAUGUUUGCAGCUUCCAAUGAAGAUCUCUUCCAAGAAAUUACCCUACCUCUAAGGCUUUGAUACUGGAAAGAGCCAGUGUGCAACUCUCCACCUACGGGGAUACAAAGUUGGCAAGGGGUGGGUGUUUGUUUGUGAACUGAUACGUCCGGUCAAAGAGUCAAAGGAAGAAACCAGAGAUUGCUGACGUGGAAUCACUCGAACUGAAGCAGAAGGUUUUCUGUUAGAGGAAGCUGAAGCUUUAAAUAGAUUGUUUUCUUCUUCGUUGGAGUUUAUGCGUUUACAACUGGAGAUUAGUGUGAGAUCGUGAGGUCUUGAGGCGAUCCUCUCAUGGAGGAUUCAUAUUGAGAAGUUGAUGGGACCAAUCCGAUAUCUUCUUGAGACUACUCUGGUUGUAAUUGUAUCAUUGAUUAGUAAUACAAGAGUUGGAUUCAUUGGAAGACGUUAAGGUUGAUUUACAGAGUUUAUAGGUAGCAAUCUUAACAUAAACUUAAUAAGGUGAUAGAUGCUAAAUGAAUCAAAAGGUGCUUGAUAAUUUUCUGUUCUCUAUUUUUUUAGUAUAAACACACAUUUUUCUCAAAUAAUUAAACAUAGGUAUUUCUUGAAAUUUCUCAAAGUUUAAACUGGCAGGGAGUUGAAGGAAUUUAAUAAUCCUAUACAGAAUCCUGACAUCAGAUCUCUAUCUAUAGACCAUACUUGCAACCAACCGACCGCUAGCUUCAGCCCCUGUUACAGACAAUUUUAUGGCUGUUUCAGCCUUCUCCAAGUGUCGCAGCUAUUCUUUCAGGAUGGAUGGCUAAUCCAUCUAUGGCACCUCAUCGUUCUUCAUCUGCAGGUCCUAUAGGCUUGGGUUCUUCAAACAACACAUAGAGCAAGGCCGUGUGGAA